AUACUUACCUCGCAGGGGAGAUGCCAUGAUCACCAAGGUUUUUUUUCCAGAACGAGCCUUAUCCCUUGCACUCUGGAUGUGCUGACCCCUGCGAAUUCCCCAAAUGUGAGAACUCGACUGCAUCGUUUGUGNNNNNN
rnacentral:snRNA from 1 species